rnacentral:lncRNA from 1 species
UGAGUUUUGUUUUAAUAUUUCAUCUCCUAUAUUUGAUAAUUGUAUCAUUCUACUUGAAUGAAAGCUUUCCACAUGUUCAUUCAGGUAAAGUUGUAACAGUGUUAUCUUUGUGCUUUGUUACAUAAAAAGCAAAAGCAAAAAACACUGAACUCAGGGGAAAAUCAAUACGGAAAGUCCAUAAUCAAUCACAUGGCAAAAUCAAAUAACAAAACGCAUAAAAAACGAAUGGACAACAACAUUUGUUUGUUAUAUAGUGAUUAAGAUAAUAACACAAUGUUGACUGCUGUAGUAUUUUUGAUUUGAGCGUCACUGAUGAGUCUUAUGUAAACGCAACGCACGUCUGACUUACUAAAUUAUAAUCCAAGUACCUUUGAUAUAUAUUUACACUACUUGGUCGACGCCACUGCUGGUGAAAGUUUCGUCGCCAAAGGCGUCACCAGUCCAGUUGUCAGCGCUUCGGGGUUUACAUUAACAUCAAUUGUGUGGUAAUUUUUAUAAAUUUUUUGCUUAAAAAACUUUGCAAGGUUCGAAAAACGAAACAUUUGUCAUCACAUA